UCGGAUACCCUUCCAGUUGGCUUGUUUGUCGAGGUUGAUAUGACCCCUCUUGACUAAAGCCCGACUUGUUUGUCGAGGUUGAUAUGACCCCUUGACUAAAGCCUCACCCUUGGAUGUUUGAGCCCCUUGUUGGUGUGUUUACUUCAUGUAUAUGUUUUUGUGUGGUGUGAUUGUAUCCCCUAGGUUUGCUAGACUCCGUAUAGUCUCUCGUUUGCAUGUCAAUUAAG
rnacentral:lncRNA from 1 species